AGUGAACGCUGGCGGCGUGCUUAACACAUGCAAGUCGAACGAGAACGGAAUAUAGCUUGCUAUAUUUGUCAGCUAAGUGGCGCACGGGUGAGUAAUGUAUAGAUAACCUGCCCUUAAGAAAGGAAUAACAGUUGGAAACGACUGCUAAUGCCCUAUAUGCCUUUAAUACAUAAGUAUGCAAGGGAAACGCUUUAGUGCUUAAGGAUGGGGCUGUAUGGUAUCAGCUUGUUGGUGAGGUAAUGGCUCACCAAGGCUAUGACGCCUAACUGGUUUGGGAGGAUGAUCAGUCACACUGGAACUGGGAGACGGUCCAGAUUCCUACGGGAGGCAGCAGUGGGGAAUAUUGCACAAUGGACGAAAGUCUGAUGCAGCAACGCCGCGUGGAGGAUGACACAUUUCGGUGCGUAAACUCCUUUUAUAUAGGAAGAUAAUGACGGUACUAUAUGAAUAAGCACCGGCUAACUCCGUGCCAGCCGCCGCUGUAA
rnacentral:rRNA from 1 species